AGGGAGAAGAAAAAAAUUAGUGGUUAUUCUUUAAAUAUCUAUAUAGUUAAUUCUUGAUAAUUUGUGCAUUAUUGGUAGUGGGAUAGACAUAAAUAAUAGAAACCUGUAUCAUUCAAAAUCUCAAAGGCAAAAGCUGCACUGUGUUCUCUCAAACCUUUACACAUUGUUGAUUGCUCUGGUGCUCAUCUAAUUUCCUGAUUACUUACCCAUCAGGAAAGUAUAUUCAAGAUCCAUGCUAGACCUAAAAGUCAGGUUAAUAGGAGGAAGAUGAGGAAAAAACAAAGAUGAACUUGCUGUUCUCAAAUCACUAAGAUUUGUUUCUUCUUGCAGGGAAGAUGGAUUGGAAAGAAAUCUUGUGGCCUGAUAUAAAUGCUGAUAGAUUUGUGCCAGCAAGUAAGGAUCUGGGGAGAAAGAGGAAGCGGUAACAAGUGGCACCUUUGAGCUGGCUGUCACACCAGUUUUGUUUGGAGUGAGGACAGGAACAAAACCUUGCAUGAAGCCUUCAGGACAGAAGAGAGGCAGGGACUGAAGGAGGGAAAAAGCCCCAAAGCUGCAGGCCUGUCUGAAGGCCACUGAAAGUGUGGGUGGAAACAGGUAUCCUUUCUGCAUACACCAGUAGCAACUGCUGAGCUCACCGAGCAUGGUGAAUCACUUAAGAGUAACUGGAACAGCUGAAAUACUGGGCUAGAUACAUCUUGCCCUGUAACCCAGGUAAGCUGUGUUAAACACCUCGUUCACAUACCAACUUCCACAGUCUCAAAGGCAGUGUAUGACAGGUUUGAUUUGGUGUUUCUAGCAUUUUCACAAAUACUAUAUGGAAACAUAAUUAAGUUUGAUAAAGUAAAGAGACCAGAAGAUUUUAGAAUCUGCUCAUGAAGAAGAAUCCCAGAAACUCACUGGCUCGUCUAAGUAAAAUUAGAUGCUGAGUCCCAUAGCCCAGCCCAGGGAG